GUCAGUGGCAGACGGGUGAGCUAACGCGUGGGAACGUGCCUUCUGGUUCGGAAUAACCCUGGGAAACUAGGGCUAAUACCGGAUACGCCCUUUUGGGGAAAGGUUUACUGCCGGAAGAUCGGCCCGCGUCUGAUUAGCUAGUUGGUGGGGUAAUGGCCUACCAAGGCGACGAUCAGUAGCUGGUCUGAGAGGAUGAUCAGCCACACUGGGACUGAGACACGGCCCAGACUCCUACGGGAGGCAGCAGUGGGGAAUAUUGGACAAUGGGCGCAAGCCUGAUCCAGCCAUGCCGCGUGAGUGAUGAAGGCCUUAGGGUUGUAAAGCUCUUUUGUCCGGGACGAUAA
rnacentral:rRNA from 1 species